CCUACGGGUGGCAGCAGUGGGGAAUAUUGCACAAUGGGGGAAACCCUGAUGCAGCAACGCCGCGUGAGUGAAGAAGUAUUUCGGGAUGUAAAGCUCUAGCAGCAGGGAAGAAGAUGACGGUACCUGAAUAAGAAGCCGCGGCUAACGACGUGCCAGCAGCCGCGGUAAUACGUAGGGGGCAAGCGUUAUCCGGAUUUACGGGGUGUAAAGGGAGCGCAGACGGCAGUGCAAGUCAGAUGUGAAACCUAUGGGCUCAACCCCUCGCCUGCAUUUGAAACUGGACUUCUUGAGUGCUGGAGAGGCAAUCGGAAUUCCGUGUGUAGCGGUGAAAUGCGUAGAUAUCCGGAGGAACACCAGUGGCGAAGGCGGCUUGCUGGACAGUAACUGACGCUGAGGCGCGAAAGCGUGGGGAGCAAACAGGAUUAGAUACCCUAGUAGUC
rnacentral:rRNA from 1 species